AUGCCAGUGUGAUCCCUGGUGUGAGGGUAUGUGCCCUUGGACUACAUCGUGGAAGCCAGCACCAUGCAGUCCAUGGGCAUAUACACUUGCCUCAAGGCCUCGAUCU
ensembl:miRNA dre-mir-455-1 microRNA 455